GACGAACGCUGGCGGCGUGCUUAACACAUGCAAGUCGAACGGUAAGGCCCUUCGGGGUACACGAGUGGCGAACGGGUGAGUAACACGUGGGUGAUCUGCCCUGCACUUCGGGAUAAGCCUGGGCAACUGGGUCUAAUACCGGAUAGGACCCUGGGAUGCAUGUCCUGGGGUGGAAAGCUUUUGCGGUGUGGGAUGGGCCCGCGGCCUAUCAGCUUGUUGGUGGGGUGAUGGCCUACCAAGGCGACGACGGGUAGCCGGCCUGAGAGGGUGACCGGACCGACUAGGACCGAGAUACGGCCCAGACUCGUACGGGAGGGAGCAGUGGGGAAUAGUGAAAAAUGGGCGCAAGGCUGAUGCAGCGACGCCGCGUGAGGGAUGACGGCCUUCGGGUUGUAAACCUCUUUCAGCACCGACGAAGCGCAAGUGACGGUAGGUGCAGAAGAAGGACCGGCCAACUACGUGCCAGCCGCCGCCGUAA
rnacentral:rRNA from 1 species